rnacentral:rRNA from 1 species
AUGUCUGUCAAGACGCUAACGGAUGUCACCCUCUUCAGGAUGGCUCCUCCAACGCGUCAGAAUCCUAAACCGCCACCACCACCUCCAUCUCCGGAGGCAUGGAAAGCUGUGAUGGCCCCUACAAAUGCCAACACGCAGCUGAUCAUGCAAAUAUUGCAAGAGCACAACCAAGGCCAUGGCAACAAUCAGAAUCAGUUUGCUACACUCAACCAGUUUCUCGCAAACCAGCCAAAGACCUUCAGCAACUGUGUCGAGGCAGCAGACGCUGAUGACUGGCUCGUGGAUAUCUGCAAGCAUUUUGAGUGCAGCAACAUCAGGCCAGAGGACUUUGUCAAGUUUGCCUCAUUCCAACUCAAAGACCAAGCUGCAAAAUGGUUUCAGCAAUACAAAGAUUCCAGAGGAGGUCGUGUGAUUACCUGGGAUGAAUUCCGUCAAGAAUUCAAAGCUCACCACAUUCCUCAGAGUGUUGUUGAGAGCAAGCGUGAGGAGUUCCGCAAUCUGAAGCAAGGUAGCUUGUCUGUUUACCAGUAUAACAUCAUGUUCCAGAAGCUCGCUCAUUUCGCUAAGCAAGACGUCCCGGACGAGAAGAGCAUGAUUUAUCAGUUCAGAGGUGGCCUCAGAGAAGAUCUCCAACUAGCUCUUGUGCUCUUUGAACCGCAGAAGUAUGAUGAGUUCUACAAUAUGGCACUGAAACAAGAGACUGCUCAACUCAAGUGCGAUGCUUCCAAGAAGCGAGUCAGGGCUGCAACUCCUUCUUCCUCUACUCAAGUGGUGACUAAGCAGCCAAAGUAUUGGUUGCCUCCUCCUCCUCUGUUCCGUCAGCCUUAUCAGUAG